CCCGGCUGAAGGAAAAAAUGCAAGGGAUAAAGAUGUUAGGGGAGCUUUUGGAAGAGUCCCAGAUGGAAGCGACCAGGCUCCGGCAGAAGGCAGAGGAGCUAGUGAAGGACAACGAGCUGCUCCCACCACCUUCUCCCUCCUUGGGCUCCUUCGACCCCCUGGCUGAGCUCACAGGAAAGGACUCAAAUGUCACAGCAUCUCCCACAGCCCCUGCAUGCCCCAGUGACAAGCCAGCACCAGUCCAGAAGCCUCCAUCCAGUGGCACCUCCUCUGAAUUUGAAGUGGUCACUCCUGAGGAGCAGAAUUCACCAGAGAGCAGCAGCCAUGCCAAUGCGAUGGCGCUGGGCCCCCUGCCCCGUGAGGACGGCAACCUGAUGCUGCACCUGCAGCGCCUGGAGACCACGCUGAGUGUGUGUGCCGAGGAGCCGGACCACGGCCAGCUCUUCACCCACCUGGGCCGCAUGGCCCUGGAGUUCAACCGACUGGCAUCCAAGGUGCACAAGAAUGAGCAGCGCACCUCCAUUCUGCAGACCCUGUGUGAGCAGCUUCGGAAGGAGAACGAGGCUCUGAAGGCCAAGUUGGAUAAGGGCCUGGAACAGCGGGAUCAGGCUGCCGAGAGGCUGCGGAAAAUUUGGAGCUCAAGAAGUUGUUGAUGAGCAAUGGCAACAAAGAGGGUGCGUCUGGGCGGCCAGGCUCACCGAAGAUGGAAGGGACAGGCAAGAAGGCAGUGGCUGGACAGCAGCAGGCUAGUGUGACGGCAGGUAAGGUCCCAGAGGUGGUGGCCUUGGGCGCAGCCGAGAAGAAGGUGAAGAUGCUGGAGCAGCAGCGCAGUGAGCUGCUGGAAGUGAACAAGCAGUGGGACCAGCAUUUCCGGUCCAUGAAGCAGCAGUAUGAGCAGAAGAUCACUGAGCUGCGUCAGAAGCUGGCUGAUUUGCAGAAGCAGGUGACUGACCUGGAGGCCGAGCGGGAGCAGAAGCAGCGUGACUUUGACCGCAAGCUCCUCCUGGCCAAGUCCAAGAUUGAAAUGGAGGAGACCGACAAGGAGCAGCUGACAGCAGAGGCCAAGGAGCUGCGCCAAAAGGUCAAGUACCUGCAGGAUCAGCUGAGCCCACUCACCCGACAGCGUGAGUACCAGGAAAAGGAGAUCCAGCGGCUCAACAAGGCCCUGGAGGAAGCACUGAGCAUCCAAACCCCGCCAUCAUCUCCACCAACAGCAUUUGGGAGCCCAGAAGGAGCAGGGGCCCUCCUAAGGAAACAGGAGCUGGUCACGCAGAAUGAGUUGCUGAAACAGCAGGUGAAGAUCUUCGAGGAGGACUUCCAGAGGGAGCGCAGUGAUCGUGAGCGCAUGAAUGAGG
rnacentral:lncRNA from 1 species